CGGAGCGUGGCGCAGUCCGGUAGCGCACCUGGUUUGGGACCAGGGGGUCGGGAGUUCAAAUCUCCCCGCUCCGA
rnacentral:tRNA from 1 species